rnacentral:rRNA from 1 species
GACGAACGCUGGCGGCGUGCCUAAUACAUGCAAGUUGAGCGAUGAAGCUUGGUGCUUGCACCAAUUUGAAGAGCAGCGAACGGGUGAGUAACGCGUGGGGAAUCUGCCUUUGAGCGGGGGACAACAUUUGGAAACGAAUGCUAAUACCGCAUAACAACUUUAAACAUAAGUUUUAAGUUUGAAAGAUGCAAUUGCAUCACUCAAAGAUGAUCCCGCGUUGUAUUAGCUAGUUGGUGAGGUAAAGGCUCACCAAGGCGAUGAUACAUAGCCGACCUGAGAGGGUGAGCGGCCACAGUGGGACUGAGACACGGCCCAAACUCCUACGGGAGGCAGCAGUAGGGAAUCUUCGGCAAUGGACGAAAGUCUGACCGAGCAACGCCGCGUGAGUGAAGAAGGUUGUCGGAUCGUAAAACUCUGUUGGUAGAGAAGAACGUUGGUGAGAGUGGAAAGCUCAUCAAGUGACGGUAACUACCCAGAAAGGGACGGCUAACUACGUG